GCCGGGCAUGGUGGCGCAUGCCUGUAGUCCCAGCUACUAGGGAAGCUAAGGUGGGAGCAUCACUUGAGCCUAGGAGGUUGAGACUGCAGUGAGCUGUGAUUGCGCCACUGCAGUCUAGCCUGGGCAACAGAGCAAGACCCUGUCUCAA
rnacentral:SRP_RNA from 1 species